CGCCGGCCAUCUCUGUGCCCGAGACCACCGGCAGAGGCUGGAGAAUCCCGUCUUCCAAGGAGACAGGAGGCUGAGAUUGGCUGUGAUUGUUGACACCUUGAAGGAGCCACAGAAUUUACCCACGGUUGUACCAGCGCCAAGUGGACAAGCCACAGGAGAUCCUAGCCUCCUGCUUCUCAGUCUGCUCUAGGAGCAGAGCCUAAAGGUACUAAACCAGGAAGCAGCAGGGAUAAGGAAAAGCAGAAGUGGGAGGCUUGAAGACUUGACCCUCCUCCUCAAAGAGGC